rnacentral:rRNA from 1 species
GAUGAACGCUAGCGGCAGGCUUAACACAUGCAAGUCGAGGGGUAGAGUAGCAAUACUUGAGACCGGCGCACGGGUGCGUAACGCGUAUGCAAUCUACCUUUACAGAGGGAUAGCCCAGAGAAAUUUGGAUUAAUACCUCAUAGUAUAGCAGUUUCGCAUGAAACCACUAUUAAAGUCACAACGGUAAAGAUGAGCAUGCGUCCCAUUAGCUAGUUGGUAAGGUAACGGCUUACCAAGGCUACGAUGGGUAGGGGUCCUGAGAGGGAGAUCCCCCACACUGGUACUGAGACACGGACCAGACUCCUACGGGAGGCAGCAGUGAGGAAUAUUGGACAAUGGGCGCAAGCCUGAUCCAGCCAUGCCGCGUGCAGGAUGACGGUCCUAU